UGGUGGAGCGAUUUGUCUGGUUAAUUCCGAUAACGAACGAGACUCUAGCCUACUAAAUAGCCGAGACCGUCGGGGCGGGUUUCAAAACUCGUUCCAGGUCAUCCGGUAUCCUUUGGCUACCGGCGACAAAUCAGUAUCUUCUUAGAGGGAUCCGCGCCUUUCAGGCGCCCGAGAUUGAGCAAUAACA
rnacentral:rRNA from 1 species